rnacentral:misc_RNA from 1 species
AACCUAGCACACCUGCGGUGUGUACCUGCGGAAGGAUCAUUACUGAGUGAGGGCCUUCGGGCUCGACCUCCAACCCUUUGUGAACACAACUUGUUGCUUCGGGGGCGACCCUGCCGUUUCGACGGCGAGCGCCCCCGGAGGCCUUCAAACACUGCAUCUUUGCGUCGGAGUUUAAGUAAAUUAAACAAAACUUUUAACAACGGAUCU